ensembl:lncRNA
GGCGAGAAGCACACACUGUAGGCUACCAAUAUGUACAGUCAUACUAAGAUAAACACAGUAGUGUUUGUAUGUGUGUUAGGUACACACACACACACACACACAGAUCCACACUCACAUGAUUACACACAAAUGAUGACAAAGUGAUUCGGUGAAACAUCUUCAUCACAGUAACAUUUUACUUCUGGCAUUGACAUCCAUGUACGUAUUGUUGCAGUGGAUUUCAGGGAAAACCCAUCAGAAAAGAAGCAUUCCUAAGACUACAGGUCCUGACUACUCCUGGGGGACAAUCAAGCACAACCUGAAGAACUUUCCUUUCAUCCUGAAUGUUUACCUGCUGGUGCCAUCCAGAGUGGUCACAGACACGCGUGGACUUGGCACCAGAACCUAGAUUUAAAAGAAGUACUGAGAGAUGGAGCUCAGCACUGCAGCAAAAGGACUAGACCUAUCAUUAUGUUGGCAGGGGUCCAGGUUCAAAGCUGCUGGGUGCCUUGUUUAAGGAAAAACAGUGACCACAAUAUUCAAAUUCUGUGUCAAAACUAUCUGAUUUUAGGAUAUAAUGAUAUUUUGAAAAAAAAAAAAAAUUGCACAUGGACAUAUACAUGUAGACACUGGGGUGAUUGGGCAUCAAAUUAGACUACUAUGCAAAUCCUCAGAGCUGUGUAGGAUGGGUUAUUCAAUGAGAACAACAACUACUACCUAGUGAAUACAACAUUUAUAAAGGUUUCCUGCAUAAAAUAUUUUAGCUUAUAAGAGGCUAUACAAAAAAAACACCAAUACUCCGUUUCUUAAGAGAUGAAACAAUAUUUGAUAAUCUGUUGAAAUUCUAUAGUUUCCUUCAUGAGUCUUUGGUAGCCAAACCUUAGGUUGCAUCAUCCCCAAGUGUAAAUUGUAAUGUGUAGUGUAACUUGAGUAUUCCUUUAUGGCUGAAAACACAUUUAUCGAAAAUGGAUAUCGCAAAAAAGUAACCAGCAAGUACAUCAAUGUAAUGCCUGCAACUGGAGUGCGCUACAAUGUUACGUAGUCUAUCAACUAGCCUAUGUUGCUGUAGAAACUCAACGUAUGACAAGCAAAUAGCCCUGUAAUACAGAAACUAGAAACUCUCACCGGCAUCAUUUUAGCCUCGUACCGCAUUUAACCAGAUUUGGAAUUCCUUGGCUCGUAGUUUCGAGGAAAACUGAAGGCGUUCGAUUGCUUUUUAAUCCUGAUCCUGUCCGGUAUCCUGUCCGAUAAACCAGUCGAUGAGUUGUCUCUUCUUGUUAUUGAAAGUAACUUAAGUAACUUUGGCUGUAAAAUAAACCAAAGAUAACUACAUGUAUUUCGUAGGCUGCAUAGCCUAAUCAGUCUCCUCUCCGCAUAUGCCGUGGACCUGUUGUAAAUAAAAAAAUACAAGGCCUCUUUGAAAUGAAAGUUUUCAGUGGCGAUUGCAUCGCUUGGAAGUUGGUAGUCGCAUUCGGAAACGCGUUGCGUUCAAAACUCUAUUAAAUUAUUGCCAUUACUAAAACCGAUCAAAUAACACGAUAAUGUACGAUGUAUUUGAUAUAUAUAUAUUUUUUUGCGAUAGUUUCCUGAAGCUGUAGGUGCCUAUCAGCCCUGAAACACCGCUAACAGCGUAGUUCGAAUGAGUGAUCGCAGUUUUCCCAGGAGUGACGUAGGGGGAUGUAACUCAUCCCAUUGGAAUGUAAGCUCCGCCUGGUUUCGGACUGUGAAUCUAUCCCCACCUACUGGGUUGAGAGUGUAAUGAAUCUCACCUUUCCAUGGCCAGUCAACAUGACAUGACAUCUUCUCAGCCCAGGAGUCAGCUGAGUUGGACCUCUAUGGUUGGACCACCUUGACCUCCCCGCUUGAUCAUUUCUGCCGAACAGAACCUUCCUUUGUCCACCUGUUUCACAGACAGCCAGACAGAGAUUUAAAUGAUAUUGCGUAGGCCUAUUUUGAAGCUACUGAUGUUUUUAAAUGACAAAAACAUAAACUAUACAACCUCAUAAUGUAUGUUUUUGUCAUUAAAACAAAUCAGUAGCUUCAAAAUAGGCCUAUGUAAUAUUUCUAAAAUGUUAUUUUGGAUUGUGUUGUGGUAAUAGUAGUUCUCUCAGGAAAACAACAAGGACAUUGAGCAACGGCUGAAGCAAUGGGCUGCAGGAGCCAAUCAUCGGGAGCUACGCCUGGACCUGAUCCAACCAGAGAACCAGGACUUCAAGACUCAACCUACUUUCUGUGCUGUAUAAAACAUGUAAACAAACUGUAUUAGGGGCUCUUCCUCUUUUAGCUCACUCGGAGUUACUUGACUGAGCCCGUGCACGCUGUACCAGAUAUCUUUACUCUGAAUAAACUGUCGCUUGUCAUACAAUCUACCGCUUUGUCCGAAUCGAUCCUUGACCGGCUCACUCACCUGCACAUCCCAGUUAUCAACAGAAACUUGGUAGCAGAGGAUGGUUUACUAAAGACCCAGUCCAGAGUGGUUGAUGUGGGUGUGAGGGGGCGAGUUGGUGAAAGGACGAUUCGAGGAGGACGAGUGUCAAUUCGGGGGAGGACAACAAUUCUGCUCAACUCGGGAAACUGAUCUCAAGGUCGACCAUAAAUAAGGUAGGCAAAACCUGUUAAGUCAAACUUUGCAUAUUGUCGUAUAGUCUAUCUAAAUUUUGAUCAGUAUUACCG